UACAGAGGGUGCGAGCGUUGUCCGGAAUCACUGGGCGUAAAGGGCGCGUAGGCGGUCUCUUAAGCGUGUGGUGAAAGCCCGGGGCUCAACUCCGGGUCGGCCGUGCGAACUGGGGGACUGGAGCUUGUCAGAGGCAGGCGGAAUCCCGGGUGUAGCGGUGGAAUGCGUAGAGAUCCGGAAGAACACCGGUGGCGAAGGCGGCCUGCUGGGACAGUGCUGACGCUGAGGCGCGACAGCGUGGGGAGCAAACAGG
rnacentral:rRNA from 1 species